rnacentral:lncRNA from 1 species
AUGGCCGCCUCGCUUCGCGUUCCUAGGAAACUAUGCAGUUUUUUGUUUUUUUUACGUGUUAUUUCUUACAUUGGUACCCCAGGUCAUCUUAGACUCCGGAGAAGGGCACAUCGCGCACCACUCCCUAGCAUACUUCUCGCCAAUGUCCAGUCUCUUGACAACAAGGUUGAUGAAAUCCGAGCAAGGGUAGCAUUCCAGAGGGACAUCAGAGACUGUAACGUUCUUUGCUUCACGGAAACAUGGCUCACUGGAGAGACGCUAUCGGAGUCGGUGCAGCCAGCUGGUUUCUCCACGCAUCGCGCCGACAGAAACAAACAUAUUUCUGGUAAGAAGAGGGGCGGGGGCGUAUGCUUUAUGGUUAACGAGAUGUGGUGUGGUCACAACAACAUACAGGAACUCAAUUCCUUCUGUUCACCUGAUUUAGAAUUCCUCACAAUCAAAUGUCGACCGCAUUAUCUACCAAGGGAAUUCUCUUCGAUUAUAAUCACAGCCGUAUAUAUUCCCCCCCAAGCAGACACAUCGAUGGCUCUGAACGAACUUUAUUUGACUCUUUGCAAACUGGAAUCCACAUAUCCUGAGGCUGCAUUCAUUGUAGCUGGGGAUUUUAACAAGGCUAAUCUGAAAACAAGACUCCCUAAAUUGUAUCAGCAUAUCGAUUGCGCAACCAGGGCUGGCAAAGCCUUGGAUCAUUGCUAUUCUAGCUUCGGUGACGCAUAUAAGGCCCUCUCCCGCUCUCCUUUCGGAAAAGCUGACCACGACUCCAUUUUGUUGCUCCCUGCGUACAAACAGAAACUAAAACAAGAAGCUCCCGCGCUGAGGUCUGUUCAACGCUGGUCCGACCAAUCUGAUUCCACACUCCAAGACUGCUUCCAUCACGUGGACUGGGAUAUGUUUCGUAUUGCGUCAGACAACAACAUUCACGAAUACGCUGAUUCGGUGAGCGAGUUCAUUAGAACGUGCGUUGAAGAUGUCGUUCCCAUAGCAACGAUUAAAACAUUCCCAAACCAGAAACCGUGGAUUGAUGGCAGCAUUUGCGUGAAACUGAAAGCGCGAACCACUGCUUUUAAUCAGGGCAAUGUGACCGGAAACAUGACCGAAUACAAACAGUGUAGCUAUUCCCUCCGCAAGGCAAUCAAACAAGCUAAGCGUCAAUAUAGAGACAAAGUAGAAUCGCAAUUCAACGGCUCAGACACAAGAGGUAUGUGGCAGGGUCUACAGUCAAUCACGGAUUACAAAAAGAAAACCAGCCCAGUCACGGACCAGGAUGCCUUGCUCCCAGGCAGACUAAAUAACUUUUUUGCCCACUUUGAGGACAAUACAGUGCCACUGACACGGCCCGCUACCAAAACAUGUGGACUCUCCUUCACUGCAGCCGAGGUGAGUAAAACAUUUAAACGUGUUAACCCUCGCAAGGCUGCAGGCCCAGACGGCAUCCCCAGCCGCGCCCUCAGAGCAUGCGCAGACCAGCUGGCUGGUGUGUUUAUGGACAUAUUCAAUCAAUCCCUAUCCCAGUCUGCUGUUCCCACACGCUUCAAGAGGGCCACCAUUGUUCCUGUUCCCAAGAAAGCUAAGGUAACUGAGCUAAACGACUACCGUAGCACUCACUUCCAUCAUCAUGAAGUGCUUUGA